GUUCACUGUCGCACAGGCAGCUUAGCAA
rfam:Photobacterium iliopiscarium strain ATCC 51761 CFSAN029430_contig0026, whole genome shotgun sequence.